rnacentral:rRNA from 1 species
UACGUAGGGUGCGAGCGUUAAUCGGAAUUACUGGGCGUAAAGCGUGCGCAGGCGGUUCGUUAAGACAGAUGUGAAAUCCCCGGGCUUAACCUGGGAACUGCGCUUGUUACUGGCAAGCUGGAGUGUGGCAGAGGGGGGUGGAAUUCCACGUGUAGCAGUGAAAUGCGUAGAGAUGUGGAGGAACACCGAUGGCGAAGGCAGCCCCCUGGGUCAAGAUUGACGCUCAUGCACUAAAGCGUGGGGAGCAAACAGG